AAGUUUUGGGGGUCAAUUGCAGUGACCCCACAGUACAGUGCUCCUCCUGAUGGGCUGGCUGUAUCCUUCCUUACAUAGGGUCCUGCAUACUUGCUUUGGUUAGAUUAUAGAAAGCCUGGCAGAGCCUCAUCCACUGCAUGGGCCUUCAGUCCAUGGGUUGCUUCAGCCCAGGAGGGGCAGGGCUGUCGCUAUCCAGUGGGUUUCUCGUAUUUCCCACUGUAAUUAUUUCUCCUGCUUUACCCAAUUCUAUUGGCCUUCCAGAUCAUAGUUGCUUGACUUUUUAUCUUGAGUUUUUACAUUUACUUUGUGAGUCUGUGCAAGCUUGUGCUGAUCAGAGGACAGUUUGCCUGACUCGUGCUGAUCAGAGGGCAGUUUGCCUGACUUGUGCUGAUCAGAGGGCAGUUUGCCUGACUUGGUUCCCUGCCUCUACCAGAUGGUUGCUGACUUUUGGCUUGGUGGAAAGUAGCCCAGCCUACGACCCUGUCAGUUAAUGCUCUGUGUGAACUGCGCUGGGUUAGAUUAUUCAGGUUUAAAAGGAUGGUCUGGUAUGAGAGGAGACAUGCUCAAAGUUGGCCUCUGGCCUCUACAUGUACACUGGGCACAUAUGGCAGCAUGCACGUGCACACGCGCACGCACACACACACAGAAUCCUUGAUUUUUAAAAACUACUAGUGAAUUGCUGCCUUGAGUUUCAUUGAAAAAUAAUGCACUAAAUUUUGGCUAAAGAGUAAAAUAGAAUUUUCAACAAUUUCUGAAGUAGGCCCAAACACGUCUGCCACUUCAACAUUUAUAUAAUUUGAUAAAUAUUACCCUUGAUGCUCAUAAAGUCAGAGUAAUGGGUCAGACUCUGAGACUGCUGAUUCAUAUGUAUGUUUCAUGUGUCUAUAAUACCUAAUAUACAAAAUCCAGAUAAACAGUGGUCUGGUAGAAAGCGUUGAAGAAGUCCUGGUCUGCAUUUGAAACUGAUACGUAACAGGAAAUAACAGCCAAUCAUGGCAGCUCAUGGUGAGAACCCAGCACUGGCAGGGACUAAGGCACCAGGAGUUCAGGCCAGCCUGGACUACAUACUGAGCUUGCAGGGACUAAGGCACCAUGAGUUCAGGCCAGCCUGGGCUACAUACUGAGCUUGCAGGGACUAAGGCACCAUGAGUUCAGGCCAGCCUGGGCUACAUACUGAGCUUCUCAAAAGAAAAAGAAGUACCUGAGUAUUUAUUUCCUUUUCAAGAAGUCAGUGCUUUUCUAAAUGUGACUCUGAAUAAAACUGGGGAUAGAAAAAACUUAAUACAAACCGCUGUUGGGAAGGGUUUUGUUUCCAAUGAAGAAAGAGGGUAAAUAGCUGAAGUUACAAACUCCAUGCCCUGCUCUGGGCCAGCAGUUGUCUACAGGGUCGUUUCACACCAUCCUGACUUCCUGGCUGUAUAUUUGUCAGGUCUAUCAGGGUCUUUGCCUGAUUCCAGAGUCUAAAGCUGCUGCCACUCCUUGAGAGCUUAGGCUCUCCGCACCACCAUGGCUCUCAGUGUUGUCCAGGGCCUCUACCUUGCCGUGGACCUUGGCCGUCAGUCUCCACUGGGCGGUGAGCUUGGUUCCUGAGACACACCAUCCUUCUUUCUGCCUUUUGAGCACCCCGAGCGUGUUCCCACUCUACCCUUCCCUUUACCACCUGCACCCUCGGGACAGGGAUUGCCUGGAUCCCCCUCCCCCCACCCCCUUUCUCCUCAUUUUCUCCAGGUCACCUUUCCUGAUGGCCUAGACAGCCCCUCUCCACAGCUCUAACCCUGGGUGGUUUUCUUAUUUCCCCAGUGCUUUCUGUUGACUUCACUCACUUGUUAACUCACAUCACCUGUUUUCUCUUUGGAAUGUAAUUUUUUUUUUUUUACAUUAAGUCCAUGGGCAGAGCCUAUAUCUCUAACUUACACAAUAGAGGCCCUAUGCUUGUUAUAAAGAAUGUAUUAUUUAAUUGGUUAAAUAAAGCCAGGUAGAAGCAUCAAGGCAAUCUUUAAAGGCUGUACCUCCUGCACAAAGCGUGUAUUAGCAGCUGUCCUGCUGCAGUAGUUAGUGGUCAUGGGCUGCAGUGUGGCUUGGCCUGCUGCAGUAGUUAGUGGUCAUGGGCUGCAGUGUGGCUUGGCCUGCUCUGCUCUGUGAGACUUGCUCAAAGCUGAUGUAUUUCAGAGCUUACAGCUCCUCGUCGGCAUAGCACUGACAGUGAUGGAGAACUCAGCAAGCUCUGUGAGGUGUGCUGAGCACGGCAUUGGGAGAAUGAUUCUUUCCUGCAGGAAAGUUCAACACCAGAGCAGCGGUCCUCAGCCUUCCUAAUGCUGUGACCCUUUCAUACUAUGAUGACCCCAACCAGAAAAUCAUUUUCAUUGUUACUUUAUAAUUGUAGCUUUGCUACUGUUAUGAAUUGUAACAUAAAUAUAUGUAUGUUUCCUGAUGGUCUUAGGUGACUGUUGUAAAGGGACCAUGACCCAUAGGCUAAGAACCACUGCACUAGUGAGAUCCACACAUGUCAGGGUUAUGUUUUGUCUUUCAGGUUGGAUUAGCUACAUGCCAGAUUGCCAGAGCUCAUGGCUUAAAGGUUUUGGGCACAGCUGGUUCUGAGGAAGGAAAAAAGCUUGUUCUGCAAAACGGAGCCCACGAAGUGUUUAAUCACAAAGAAGCCAACUAUAUUGAUAAAAUCAAGGUACACUUUUCUACAGUUUAAGGUCAAACUUUGCUUCUGGGAGACUUACUUGGCUUUAAAAUAAGUCAUUUUAACAACUGCCUUCUUAACGAGUUAACAUGAUUUUGCUUAGUAAGUAACAUUGUUUCUGUUUUCAUAUCUAUAUGUUCUCUCACCCCUAUAAAUGUUUUAAUUGAUUUAAAAGGACAGGCAUCUAGUUGUCCAGAUUUUGCUGCCAUGCUUGUAAUACACUUGCGAAUUAAAUGAGACGGAGCCUUUCUAAAGUCAACUGAAAGAUCACGUUGUAAGUAAAGCUUGCAGCUACAAGAUGCUCAUAGUGCAGUUGUUAAGGAUGUGAAAUUCCCAUUGCACUCGAGGUUCCCAGAAUUACAAACCAGAUGUACCUAUCCAGGAAAGAUGCCGCUUGCUAAUGGGGUCCUUGGGUACGGAUUAUCACUAUUCCACCCACCACAGUGAGGCACAUUCAGAUAAUGUUGCUUACCAUACAGUUCACACAGGAUCUUAUCUGUCUGUCUGGUUUGCCUGGCAAGUGCUCAGCCAUUGACUUCUGUCCACUGCUCACCUGAAUCCUGAAGUCCUUAUUUAUAUAUCACUGAUAAUGGAAUCAGCACUUACUCCCUUGCUCAUCCUCAAAAGCACUGUCCUAAGGUAGGACAAUGAGAAUUUUGCAGGCAUGGAGUGCCUUAAGGAGGUCAUUAUCCAAGGAAGAAGAAUGUGUGCAUGGGGUUAUUUCCACCAUACCACCUUGCC
rnacentral:lncRNA from 1 species